rnacentral:lncRNA from 1 species
UUACUGUUAAACACACUGUCAUCAUGGAGGUGGUAUCCUCCUCCCUUACUGUUAAACACACUGUCAUCAUGGAGGUGGUAUCCUUCUCCUCCCUUACUGUUAAACACACUGUCAUCAUGGAGGUGGUAUCCUCUUCCCUUACUGUUGAACACACAGUCAUCAUGGAGGUGGUAUCCUCCUCCUCCCUUACUGUUAAACACACUGUCAUCAUGGAGGUGGUAUCCUCUUCCCUUACUGUUAAACACACAGUCAUCAUGGAGGUGGUAUCCUCCUCCUCCCUUACUGUUAAACACACAGUCAUCAUGGAGGUGGUAUCCUCCUCCUCCCUUACUGUUAAACACACAGUCAUCAUGGAGGUGGAAUCCUCCUCCUCCCUUACUGUUAAACACACAGUCAUCAUGGAGGUGGUAUCCUCCUCCUCACUUACUGUUAAACACACAGUCAUCAUGGAGGUGGUAUCCUCCUCCUCCCUUACUGUUAAACACACAGUCAUCAUGGAGGUGGUAUCCUCUUCCCUUACUGUUAACCUGUUAGGGCUAGGGGGCAGUAUUGACACAGCCGGAUAAAAAACGUACCCGAUUUAAUCUGGUUACUACUCC